rnacentral:rRNA from 1 species
UACGGAGGGUGCAAGCAUUAUCCGGAAUCACUGGGCGUAAAGGGCGCGUAGGCGGUCUGUUAAGUCUGGCGUUAAAGCCUGGGGCUCAACCCCAGAUCAGCGUUGGAUACUGGCAGGCUAGACGGCUGGAGAGGCGAGUGGAAUUACCAGUGUAGCGGUGGAAUGCGUAGAUACUGGUAGGAACACCCAUUGCGAAGGCAGCUCGCUGGACAGCACGUGACGCUGAGGCGCGAAAGUGUGGGGAGCAAACCGGAUUAGA